AGGAAGAACCCAGCGAAAGGCACUGCUGAAGCCCAAGUUUUUGCGCGCCCGUUUGCAGCGCUGCUUGGCACAGUUUACGGCACUUUUGUUACUGACUAACUAGGAAGAGGGGGAGCCAUGCUGCUGUAGAGCCAGUGGGGAGGUGGUUUUGGAUCUAGUAUAAAAAGGGCUCGAAAAUCAGCCAAUAUUAUCACAACUUUUUGAACAGCUGAACUCGUUUAGCCUUCCUUACAGCAAAAAAUGGCCAAAUCGCUUCUGAUGAUUUUGAUGGUGUCUUUGGUGCUGCUGGCAAUUGUCAACGAGUUCGGUGGACUCGUCGAGGGAUGUAACUGCUGUGAAAAUGGCGAUUUAUCCCAAGGCAACUGUUGUCGUUGGCGUUGCGAUGGUGGAGGAUGUGGCUGCAGACCUUUCUUUGCUCUUCACUGCGGUGCACCCGACAGGUGUGGUGCAGAAUCACCCUAACCGAAAUAGUAGUUCAUCACUUGUUUUUCAUGCAACCGAACUGGACCGAAUCCAAGUCUGUCCUAUCAAAAUCUUCUGGUUUCAAUUAACCCGAGCAAUAUUUGUAUAAUUGUGGAUAUAUUCAACCUUCCAACUCUGAUAAUACACAUCAUACAAAUGCA
rnacentral:lncRNA from 1 species